rnacentral:pre_miRNA from 14 species
AAAUCUAUAUCCAUAUAUCUGUAUGUGUGUAUAUAUAUAUAUAUACACACAUACAGAUAUAUGGAUAUAGACACA